ensembl:lncRNA
UGGAGUUUGGCUUACGUUGAGAGGAAAGUGGGCAGAGCCGCUGAAGGAUAUCAGCUCAGGCAGAGCAGAGGGGAGGACACACGCAGCAGAGGAGCAAGGCGUCGAGGACGGAGAGGAGAGAAGGCGCAACGAUGCGGCUCAAAGUCCCACCAAAACGACGAAAAUCGCCCAAAAACGCGACUCCGACUAUGGCAGACGACGGGGGAUAGACACGGCCUGGGAAAUGGGGAUUUUCCUCGAUGUUUUACGAACUACGUCAAGGAAGAAAGGAGGUUGUUUCACCUAAGCUAAAUGGGUUGACAUUUAGCCACCAUGAAAUGAAGAAUUCGUGUGAUCCACGCUUCAGUGGGGAUUUGUAAGUAUCAAUUUACGACAGAUUGAAUGUCUUUAGCAGAAUACUUGUAUGCUAUGUAUUCAUUGAUCUCGUAAUUUAUGUUCAAUCGUGUUGUCUGUUUUUACUGACUGUACAAGUUUAACUGAAUAAAUGGCAUAGGAAAUAGUGCGUUUUUUGCUUUCACAUUAUCAUAUAAUGUCAUUACGAGGAAAUAGUGAUAUGUGUCAUUACACAACUGUAGGGAGGACUUUUCUGCCCCCUAGUGUACAAUGACGCACAGAUGUACACAUAAAUUAUAAAUGUAUGGCUGAUCUGAUACCUGGCCCCGGGGGAUACGUUGCAUCAUUAAUUUGAAGUUAUUUUCAUUCAACUAAAGUACACUGAAGCGCUAUGUAAAUUGGAGUCAUUGUUUUGUAUUGUAAAUGCCUUAACUCUCAAGUGAUCUUGACAUUUUAAAACACAAUUUGAUUAGCAAACAUGUUGUUGAAAUGUGAUUUAAAU